rnacentral:rRNA from 3 species
UGGGGAAUAUUGGGCAAUGGGGGAAACCCUGACCCAGCAACGCCGCGUGAAGGAAGAAGGCUUUCGGGUUGUAAACUUCUUUUAUCAGGGACGAAAGAAAUGACGGUACCUGAUGAAUAAGCCACGGCUAACUACGUGCCAGCAGCCGCGGUAAUACGUAGGUGGCAAGCGUUGUCCGGAUUUACUGGGUGUAAAGGGCGUGUAGGCGGAUACACAAGUCAGGCGUGAAAACUAUGGGCUUAACCCAUAGCCUGCGUUUGAAACUGUGUAUCUUGAGUAUCGGAGAGGCAGGCGGAAUUCCUCGUGUAGCGGUGAAAUGCGUAGAUAUGAGGAGGAACACCAGUGGCGAAGGCGGCCUGCUGGACGACAACUGACGCUGAGGCGCGAAAGCGUGGGGAGCAAACAGG